rnacentral:tRNA from 1 species
GUCCCCGUAGCUCAGGUGGAUAGAGCGGAGGUUUCCUAAACCUUAGGCCGGGCGUUCGAGUCGCCCCGGGGACA